rnacentral:rRNA from 1 species
AGGGAUCAUUGCUGGAACGCGCCCCAGGCGCACCCAGAAACCCUUUGUGAACUUAUACCUUACUGUUGCCUCGGCGCUAGCUGGUCCUUCGGGGCCCCUCACCCUCGGGUGUUGAGACAGCCCGCCGGCGGCCAACCUAACUCUUGUUUUUACACUGAAACUCUGAGAAUAAAACAUAAAUGAAUCAAAACUUUCAACAACGGAUCUCUUGGUUCUGGCAUCGAUGAAGAACGCAGCGAAAUGCGAUAAGUAAUGUGAAUUGCAGAAUUCAGUGAAUCAUCGAAUCUUUGAACGCACAUUGCGCCCUCUGGUAUUCCGGAGGGCAUGCCUGUUCGAGCGUCAUUUCAACCCUCAAGCCUGGCUUGGUGAUGGGGCACUGCCUGUAAAAGGGCAGGCCCUGAAAUUCAGUGGCGAGCUCGCCAGGACCCCGAGCGCAGUAGUUAAACCCUCGCUCUGGAAGGCCCUGGCGGUGCCCUGCCGUUAAACCCCCAACUUCUGAAAAUUUGACCUCGGAUCAGGUAGGAAUACCCGCUGAACUUAA